GACGAACGCUGGCGGCGUGCUUAACACAUGCAAGUCGAACGCUGAAGCUUGGUGCUUGCACUGGGUGGAUGAGUGGCGAACGGGUGAGUAAUACGUGAGUAACCUGCCCUUGACUCUGGGAUAAGCCUGGGAAACUGGGUCUAAUACUGGAUAUGACAUGCCACUGCAUGGUGGUGUGUGGAAAGGGUUUUACUGGUUUUGGAUGGGCUCACGGCCUAUCAGCUUUUUGGUGGGGUAAUGGCCUACCAAGGCGACGACGGGUAGCCGGCCUGAGAGGGUGACCGGCCACACUGGGACUGAGACACGGCCCAGACUCCUACGGGAGGCAGCAGUGGGGAAUAUUGCACAAUGGGCGGAAGCCUGAUGCAGCGACGCCGCGUGAGGGAUGACGGCCUUCGGGUUGUAAACCUCUUUCAGCACGGAAGAAGCGAGAGUGACGGUACGUGCAGAAGAAGCGCCGGCUAACUACGU
rnacentral:rRNA from 1 species